AGUGCUGCCAAUAAAUGACGGAGGGACGAGGAGUGAGGAAGCGGUAGAAGGUGUGGUUCUGCUGCUUCUAAACGCUGUGUGCUCUGAUGCUGCUGCUGAAUCCUCGGAGGACUCGGACCAACAUGAAGCUCCUUCAGCUCGUCUGGAUCUUCCUGCUCACUCUGUGCGGACAAAGCGGUGCAGCUUCAAAACCUUGGGUCAAAAAUGUCACGGAGACAGAAGAUGGAGUUUUGCUUCAGUGUGAAGUUUUUGGUGCUUCUCCAGAACUUAAAGUAUUCUGGAAGAACAGCACUGAACAUGAUGUUCCUGCUGAAGAACGAAAGACAAAAACAGGAGGCGGCUACAACAUUACACUCCAAACUAAUGUGACAAAGACCGACACCUACACCUGUGUGACCACGGAGGGGAAGAAGGACGAUGAGGUUUCUUCUGUGCUCCAUGUGACUGUUACUGUUAAAAGCUCCGCGAGUCGAAUUGUUCCUGCAGCUGUUGUUGGAGUUCUUGCAGCUGUUGGAGUUCUUGGACUUGUUCCUGCAGCUGUUGUUGGAGUUCUUGGACUUGUCGCUGCAGUUGUUGUCUGAGUUUCUCUUCAUUCGAUUCAUCGCUGCAGUAAGUCUGCUGGAGGUUCAACACCUGAAGGAAAACUCUGGCUGCACCUGCUGUUCUGUCAACAUCCUGAUUUAUUGUGUUUACUGGGUUUCUGCUGAUUGUAGUCGUGUUUCUGGAACGCACUUUUAUGUGAAUUUUACAUCCUUAAUUUCGUGAAGAAGUUUCACGGUCCCUUGAGGUUGUUUCUAAUGUUCUUCAAAAAAUCUCUUUGUUAUUGAGCUUCUAUUCAGGGUCCAGACAGAGAAUGUGAGUUUAAAUUUAACGUGGUGCAUUAAUGUUUGGUCUGUUUUGGGUUCUGUAGCUGCAGUUUUAACCAGAGAGGAAAAACAAUCAGAACCUGUUAAAGACACGAACAAACACUUUGACUUUUCUGUUUAGUCUUCUUGCUCAGUAUUGGAGAGAUUGCAUUAAUUUUUGUCUCUAUUAAUCAUUUACACCCAGAUGUAUGAUGAAAACAUGAUCCUUGUUUAACAAUAUUGGAAUCAUCCUUCAAGGACGUCAAAGAUUUCUUGGAUAAAUUAAAAUUAAAUCAGAAUUAAAACCGACCUCAGAGAGGCAAAUUUGUGUUUCAUGAAUUUAAUUAACAAUAAAACAGUGAAAAACUCUAAGUAAUAAAAUGUUAACGCACCAAGAAGGUUUUUCUGUUCUGAAAGCGUUCUUAGAAGGUUCUGCUGAUGUUUUCAGCACAAAGUUGUUUUUUAUUUCCACGAAUGUUCUUCUUAAACGCUGCAGAACGUUCUCUGAAGAGGUUUUGAAAAUGUUUGGUUGUUUCCUGAUUGUUUUCUUUGAGAUUUUCCAUCUUUUAUUGUCAUAUAAUUUGUGGAACGUUGUGGGAAUAUUUCUGGUUUGUUUCCUCAAAAACUUCCUCAGAACUUUUCAGGUGAAAUUUUCCACUUUAGUCCGUAUUUCACCUUCUAGGAACGUUUUCUAAAAAUCACUCGAGGCCUUGAGAACAUCUUGAGAACAUUUUUAAUGUUGAUUUGUUCUUCCUUUGCUUUCACAUCGCCUGUUUAUCUGACAACGUUCUCCAAACAUCCUGUGAAUGUUGCAGCUGAAACAUUUUCUGAGAUCUUCAGGUCCAAACAUAAAUGGUCAAAAAUGACUCAUGUUGUCUCGUAUGGUGGCUCCAAUAAAAGAUACUGCUGACAGA